rnacentral:rRNA from 1 species
GGAUGAACGCUAGCUACAGGCUUAACACAUGCAAGUCGAGGGGAAACGACAUCGAAAGCUUGCUUUUGAUGGGCGUCGACCGGCGCACGGGUGAGUAACGCGUAUCCAACCUGCCCAUCACUUGGGAAUAACCUUGCGAAAGUAAGACUAAUACCCAAUGAUAUCCCACGAAGGCAUCUGAAUGGGAUUAAAGAUUUAUCGGUGAUGGAUGGGGAUGCGUCUGAUUAGCUUGUUGGCGGGGUAACGGCCCACCAAGGCAACGAUCAGUAGGGGUUCUGAGAGGAAGGUCCCCCACAUUGGAACUGAGACACGGUCCAAACUCCUACGGGAGGCAGCAGUGAGGAAUAUUGGUCAAUGGGCGAGAGCCUGAACCAGCCAAGUAGCGUGCAGGAUGACGGCCCUAUGGGUUGUAAACUGCUUUUAUAAGGGAAUAAAGUGAGUCUCGUGAGACUUUUUGCAUGUACCUUAUGAAUAAGGACCGGCUAAUUCCGUGCCAGCAGCCGCGGUAAUACGGAAGGUCCGGGCGUUAUCCGGAUUUAUUGGGUUUAAAGGGAGCGUAGGCCGGAGAUUAAGCGUGUUGUGAAAUGUAGAGGCUCAACCUCUGCACUGCAGCGCGAACUGGUCUUCUUGAGUACGCACAACGUGGGCGGAAUUCGUGGUGUAGCGGUGAAAUGCUUAGAUAUCACGAAGAACUCCGAUUGCGAAGGCAGCUCACGGGAGCGCAACUGACGCUGAAGCUCGAAAGUGCGGGUAUCGAACAGGAUUAGAUACCCUGGUAGUCCGCACGGUAAACGAUGGAUGCCCGCUGUUGGCCUGAAUAGGUCAGCGGCCAAGCGAAAGCAUUAAGCAUCCCACCUGGGGAGUACGCCGGCAACGGUGAAACUCAAAGGAAUUGACGGAAGG